AACCUCCGCAAUGUGAGAAAUCGCGACGGGGGGAUCCCAAGUGCCAUUCUUAACGGGAUGGCUUUUCAUUAGUGUAAAGAGCUUUUGGAAUAAGAGCUGGGCAAGACCGGUGCCAGCCGCCGCGGUAACACCGGCAGCUCUAGUGGUAACAAUUUUUAUUGGGCCUAAAGCGUCCGUAGCCGGUUUAAUAAGUCUCUGGUGAAAUCCUGUAGCUUAACUGUGGGAAUUGCUGGAGAUACUAUUAGACUUGAGAUCGGGAGAGGUUAGAGGUACUCCCAGGGUAGAGGUGAAAUUCUGUAAUCCUGGGAGGACCGCCUGUUGCGAAGGCGUCUAACUGGAACGAUUCUGACGGUGAGGGACGAAAGUUAGGGGCGCGAACCGGAUUAGAUACCCGGGUAGUCCUAACUGUAAACGAUGCGGACUUGGCGUUGGGGUGGCUUUGAGCUGCUCCAGUGCCGAAGGGAAGCUGUUAAGUCCGCCGCCUGGGAAGUACGGUCGCAAGACUGAAACUUAAAGGAAAU
rnacentral:rRNA from 1 species